UUUUUUUUUUUUUUUUUUUUUUUUCUUCAGACGAACGCUGGCGGCGUGCCUAAUACAUGCAAGUCGAGCGGACAGAUGGGAGCUUGCUCCCUGAUGUUAGCGGCGGACGGGUGAGUAACACGUGGGUAACCUGCCUGUAAGACUGGGAUAACUCCGGGAAACCGGGGCUAAUACCGGAUGCUUGAUUGAACCGCAUGGUUCAAUUAUAAAAGGUGGCUUUUAGCUACCACUUACAGAUGGACCCGCGGCGCAUUAGCUAGUUGGUGAGGUAACGGCUCACCAAGGCAACGAUGCGUAGCCGACCUGAGAGGGUGAUCGGCCACACUGGGACUGAGACACGGCCCAGACUCCUACGGGAGGCAGCAGUAGGGAAUCUUCCGCAAUGGACGAAAGUCUGACGGAGCAACGCCGCGUGAGUGAUGAAGGUUUUCGGAUCGUAAAACUCUGUUGUUAGGGAAGAACAAGUACCGUUCGAAUAGGGCGGUACCUUGACGGUACCUAACCAGAAAGCCACGGCUAACUACGUGCCAGCAGCCGCGGUAAUACGUAGGUGGCAAGCGUUGUCCGGAAUUAUUGGGCGUAAAGCGCGCGCAGGCGGUUUCUUAAGUCUGAUGUGAAAGCCCCCGGCUCAACCGGGGAGGGUCAUUGGAAACUGGGGAACUUGAGUGCAGAAGAGGAGAGUGGAAUUCCACGUGUAGCGGUGAAAUGCGUAGAGAUGUGGAGGAACACCAGUGGCGAAGGCGACUCUCUGGUCUGUAACUGACGCUGAGGCGCGAAAGCGUGGGGAGCGAACAGGAUUAGAUACCCUGGUAGUCCACGCCGUAAACGAUGAGUGCUAAGUGUUAGAGGGUUUCCGCCCUUUAGUGCUGCAGCAAACGCAUUAAGCACUCCGCCUGGAGACUUAGUU
rnacentral:rRNA from 1 species